UUUCAACACUAGCAAACAAGACCACACAACUGUAUGAUGCCUAGCAAAAUGUAAAAUAUAUACCUUUCACUUACUGCAAGUAUUUCACUUUGGCAUAAAUAAAGGUGACAGAGGAACAGGUCAUACUGGGAGCAGUAGGUCUGUGACUUGGAUGGAGCACAGUUACUGAUUUGAUGCCAUUAAGGCACAAAGCUUUGUAAUGAUUAAAAUGGUGAGUGAAUGUAAAUACUGGAAGUGUUAUUUCUUUAUACUAAAACCUGCUACUUUAAGUUAUGUUUCAGAAAUAUCUUGAGCACCUCGACUUGAAAAAUAACAGGAAUACCAUCUAGAAUAUUACAAGUGAGGACAGUCAGUCAAUGAUAAUCCAUGAACUUAGGCUGAAGGAAAAAAAUUCUAUAUAUGUAAUAAAAGUUGAUUGUAAUGUGUGAUGUUGUAGACAUACAAUAAUCUGUUUUGUGCUAUCUUUUACAUAAUGAAUUUGGUGACAACAUGUGGAUCAAAACUGGAAUGAGCAAAGAAUACCAACCAAAUUUAAGACCCAAAAACCAGAAAGAGCCACGACCAGCGGUGGAACACACGCAAGUUUGAAAAAUUUGUUCUAAAUGCACACUAAUAGUGAUUUUUUUUCUUUUUGUUGUUGUUGAUUGUAGAUGUACAUAUAUGUUCCUGUCUCCUGCUAAAAAUGAACCAUCCCAACUAGCAAAUUUUACUUUGUUAUUUAGAACUUUUUUAAUUGCAUUAAUUAAGAGCCACCUGCACUUUGAGAGGACUAAAACUGUUGAGAUUUUAUUAUUCAUUCAAUAACAAGAUUAAUAUGUGGGGUAUGUGAAAUGUGUGUACAUGUUUGUUUUGCUCAUACUUGUACAAAUGUUUCAUGUAACCUGACGAGGCGAACCCAAGAUUCAAGAAGAAGAAGAGGAGGAGGAGGAGGAAGAAGAAGAGGAGGA